GGGUUUUCUCCAGGCGCUCUGGUUCCCCCAGUUGUAUUUUGUCUUUUUCCAGUCUGCCUCCUUGCUGUCUACAACGUAGACAAGGGAAAGGGAAAAGAGAACGUUUUCAAGUAUUGUUGAUGCAACUUUGGAGACUCUUAAAGUCCCACAGGACAGGCCCCUGAACUUUAAAAUAAUUCAAGAGGUUUGUAGUAUUAUGGUCAAUUAUUUUGAAGAAAAGUACCGGUUAUAUAUGCAGGUUAGGUUUGCAAAUGGAAGAGUAGAGUUAAUUGAGGAGUUUGCUUUCAAACUGAGGCGGACAAUGAGGAAAGUUGUCCGUGUCUUCUAUUUGCGGUAAUAGUCUCUUUGGAUUCAUGAAUUAUUGAUGUGAUGUUUGUGUUUGUGACUAGCUGUAUAACUGGCAGCUUAAACAGAUUUUUUUUUUUUAAAUUGCUAAUAAGUAUUCAUUCAUUCAAAAAAAAGGGAAGAAAACAGAAGAACGUAUGUUUUCUGUGGGGUUUUUCUCCAGGCGCUCUGGUUCCCCCAUUUUAAUUUUAGCAGUUUGAUGGUAAAAUGUUGUACCCAGAGGAACCCAGAGUGCAGGCUGUGGGGUUCGAACCAGGUAUUUGCAACCUUCUCAGAGCGCAAGCGCACUGCUCUAACCAUUAGGCCACCACUCCCCCAGUUUAAGUACUAAGACAGAGAUCUGUGGUUUUAUUUAAGCCAUAAUUUACUAUCUUCUUAUAAAAUUGAGAACAGCAUGGGACACAUGUCCAGGAGAGGGUCUGGUCUAUCCUGCCCCAAUUUUGUUUUAACUAGACAAACAAAUCACUCCCUUAUAUACCACUGUUAUCUAUGCGAGAUAUCCCACUACAGUUUCUCACGGGAAGGUCCUUGGAAACCGCAGGAUGGCUAUAAUGAGCACUUUUGCAACUCUUAGGAAAAAAAUGUUAGCUCCGAAACUAGACAAAGCUAUACCUUCAACCUAGGGGAGAGCUCUGUCCUUAUGUGUAUCAGACACCUCCUACCAACUACUGAAACUGUCUCCAGGUCCAAGAAAGAUGAAAAACAGUAGGCUCAGAAAUAAACUAAGCUCUGCAGCUGUAGCACGCAAGUGAAUACGUUUGCCAAGUCAUACCAAAUAAUAAAGAGAAGCUUCUUUCAAAAUUUUAUUUAAAACCCUUUAAAAUGUUUAUUAAAUAAAUCGGACACCUGAUGCAGACAGAAAAAAAAAAACACUGCUGGGGUCUACAGAAGCCUAGUGAUACUGAGUGGACACAGAUGGAGCUAGCAGACAGGUUGACAGAGGCUGAAUUCAGUUCUGUAGGAUAAGCAUGGGUCAUAUACAGGCAUAUAGAGACAGACAGACAGACAGACAGAUCCAAUGGGCUUGGCAAGGUUUAUCGUUGUGAGAACAGUCCUUGUCGUGUCCAGAAAAACAGAAGGCAGAUUUCCAACAGGGGAUGGACAAGGUUGGAAAAUCCAUGGUCAUGAGCAGAGACCAGGCAGGGAAAGCAGCUGGAUAUCUACUAAAACUAGGCUUUGAAUAAUCUGGCCUCAUCUGCUGUCUAAGUCGAGCUCAUAAAAACCUUGAAACAUGUGAAAGAGACGGUGAUCUUGCAGUGGUGCGGUGAGGAAGCUGCAGAGGUGCCAUGAAUCAAAGUGACUAGACAGAACAGGAAUGGUGAGACAUGACUCAUCAUGCAGUGGAUGUAUUCUGAUGUCAGAUGUUGAUGUUUCACGUCAGAUAUUUGACAUUCCAGUACAGCAAGACACCGUCACACUGUGUACAGCAUCAGUAUCCUGAAAAAAAAAAAAAAAAAAAAAAACAUUUUGAUUGCUAUAAAUCAUGACUGAAUAUUUUCUGCUAAAAAGUCUUAAGAAUUAAAGCAAACCUUCCAUAAAAUAUUCUAAAGAUAACACAAAUCUAAGCUUCAAGCCCUGGAUUGUUCAAACCAAACUCAAUGUCGUUGCGUUAACAAUAAUUUGCAGGUGGUCUGUCGUGGUCACAAAAUGUAUUUCUAUAAAUACUAUAUAUAAAAAUUAAUGCAACAUUGAUGUAACUGGAAAAUCUAGAAAAACUGUUAAGAUUAUAAAUAUUUGUAUUCUUAGGCUUGCUACCUAAACAACUAAAACUGGAUUAACCUGACAGGAAAAAAAACUUUAAACCAGCCACAACACAAUUCUUAACAUGUUC